AUUGAACGCUGGCGGCAUGCCUUACACAUGCAAGUCGAACGGCAGCGGACCUUCGGGUGCCGGCGAGUGGCGAACGGGUGAGUAAUAUAUCGGAACGUACCUUUCAGUGGGGGAUAACGUAGCGAAAGUUACGCUAAUACCGCAUAUUCUGUGAGCAGGAAAGCAGGGGAUCGCAAGACCUUGCGCUGAUUGAGCGGCCGAUAUCAGAUUAGCUAGUUGGUGAGGUAAAGGCUCACCAAGGCGACGAUCUGUAGCGGGUCUGAGAGGAUGAUCCGCCACACUGGAACUGAGACACGGUCCAGACUCCUACGGGAGGCAGCAGUGGGGAAUUUUGGACAAUGGGCGCAAGCCUGAUCCAGCCAUGCCGCGUGAGUGAAGAAGGCCUGGUUGUAAGA
rnacentral:rRNA from 1 species